CCAAAUGCCAGCUCUACGAGGACAGGAACAUUGUCUGUCUUGUUCGUUGUUGCUUUCCCAGAGCUUGGACUAGGUCUGUGACAUGUCACAUUUAAUAAGUGAAAAAAAUUAAUGGAUGGAUUGCUCUACAGAGAAGAGAUAUUCAAGUCACUUCUGAAUAAGUUCUCAGACAACAACUUCUUGUGUAUAGUCGUGUACCACAUGAUGUUUACUUCAACAGCAGACUGCUAUGUGAUGGUGGUUCUGUAAGAUUAUAUCGGAACUGAAAAAUUCCUAUUACCUAGUGAUGUCUUAGCCAUCCUAAAGUCAUAGGGUAGUGCAUUACCUUUUCUAUGUUUAGAUAAACAAAUACCAUUGUUUUACAGUUGCCUACAGAAUUCAGUAUAGUGACACACUCAACAGGGUUAUAGUAUAGGAGCAAUAGGCUAUACCAUAUAGCCUAGGUGUAUAGUAGGCUGUACCAUCUAGGUUUGUAUAAGUACAUGUUCACACGAUGACAAAAUUGCCUAAUGACUAAUUCCUCAGAACAUACUCGUAUCUGUAAGCAAUGUAUGACUAUGUUCUGUAGAAUUAGG
rnacentral:lncRNA from 10 species